CUUGCUCUUUCCGGAAUUGAGUAGCAAACGGGUGAGUAACACGUAAACAACCUGCCUUCAGGAUGGGGACAACAGUUGGAAACGACUGCUAAUACCGCAUGACACAUAGGUGUCGCAUGGCACUUAUGUCAAAGAUUUAUCGCUGAAAGAUGGCCUCGCGUCUGAUUAGCUAGUUGGUGAGGUAACGGCCCACCAAGGCGACGAUCAGUAGCCGGACUGAGAGGUUGAACGGCCACACUGGAACUGAGACACGGUCCAGACACC
rnacentral:rRNA from 1 species